GACGAACGCUGGCGGCGUGCUUAACACAUGCAAGUCGAACGGAAAGGCCCUGCUUUUGUGGGGUGCUCGAGUGGCGAACGGGUGAGUAACACGUGAGUAACCUGCCCUUGACUUUGGGAUAACUUCAGGAAACUGGGGCUAAUACCGGAUAGGAGCUCCUGCUGCAUGGUGGGGGUUGGAAAGUUUCGGCGGUUGGGGAUGGACUCGCGGCUUAUCAGCUUGUUGGUGGGGUAGUGGCUUACCAAGGCUUUGACGGGUAGCCGGCCUGAGAGGGUGACCGGCCACAUUGGGACUGAGAUACGGCCCAGACGCCUACGGGAGGCAGCAGUGGAGAGUAUUGCACAAUGGGCGGAAGCCUGAGGCAGCAACGCCGCGUGCGGGAUGACGGCCUUCGGGUUGUAAACCGCUUUCGCCUGUGACGAAGCGUGAGUGACGGUAAUGGGUAAAGAAGCACCGGCUAACUACGUG
rnacentral:rRNA from 1 species